rnacentral:rRNA from 1 species
CGUACACUCCUGCGGGAGGCAGCAGUGGGGAAUAUUGGACAAUGGGCGCAAGCCUGAUCCAGCCAUGCCGCGUGAGUGAUGAAGGCCCUAGGGUUGUAAAGCUCUUUCACCGGAGAAGAUAAUGACGGUAUCCGGAGAAGAAGCCCCGGCUAACUUCGUGCCAGCAGCCGCGGUAAUACGAAGGGGGCUAGCGUUGUUCGGAAUUACUGGGCGUAAAGCGCACGUAGGCGGAUCGAUCAGUCAGGGGUGAAAUCCCAGGGCUCAACCCUGGAACUGCCUUUGAUACUGUUGAUCUGGAGUAUGGAAGAGGUGAGUGGAAUUCCGAGUGUAGAGGUGAAAUUCGUAGAUAUUCGGAGGAACACCAGUGGCGAAGGCGGCUCACUGGUCCAUUACUGACGCUGAGGUGCGAAAGCGUGGGGAGCAAACAGGAUUAGAAACCCUAGUAGUCCCA